CGAGUUGGCUAGACAGUUGCUGCGUUCGCAAGAACGGGGAGGAAAGUCCGGGCUUCAUAGAGCAGGGUACCAGGUAACGCCUGGGCGGUGUGAACCGACGACAAGUGCAGCAGAGAGGAGACCGCCAAUCUUAGGAUUGGUAAGGGUGAAAGGGUGCGGUAAGAGCGCACCGGGCGGCUAGUAAUAGUCGUUGCAAGGUAAACUCUACCCGAAGCAAGACCAAAUAGGGUUCCAGACGGCGCGGCUCGCGUUGGAACCGGGUAGGUCGCUUGAGCCUGCGAGCGAUUGCAGGCCUAGAUGAAUAACUGUCCACGACAAGACCCGGCUUAUCGGCCAACUCACCUA
rnacentral:RNase_P_RNA from 20 species